rnacentral:rRNA from 1 species
CCAGACUCCUACGGGAGGCAGCAGUGGGGAAUAUUGCACAAUGGGGGGAACCCUGAUGCAGCGACGCCGCGUGGGCGAGGAAGUAUUUCGGUAUGUAAAGCCCUAUCGGCAGGGAAGAAGAAAUGACGGUACCUGAAUAAGAAGCACCGGCUAAAUACGUGCCAGCAGCCGCGGUAAUACGUAUGGUGCAAGCGUUAUCCGGAUUUACUGGGUGUAAAGGGAGCGUAGACGGCGACGCAAGUCUGGAGUGAAAGCCCGGGGCCCAACCCCGGGACUGCUCUGGAAACUGCGGCGCUGGAGUACGGGAGGGGCAGGCGGAAUUCCUGGUGUAGCGGUGAAAUGCGUAGAUAUCAGGAGGAACACCGGCGGCGAAGGCGGCCUGCUGGACCGUGACUGACGUUGAGGCUCGAGAGCGUGGGGAGCAAACAGGAUUAGAUACCCCUGUA